UCGGGAGUGGUGUAGUGGUUACAGUGUCGGGCUGGGCUUUGGGAGACACGGGUUCGAAUCCCGGCUCCGCUUCUGAG
rnacentral:tRNA from 1 species